GCUGUGGCUGAGGGGUUAAACAUCUGCUUGGCCUGCAGAAGGUCGCAGGUUUGAUCCCGGGCAUCUCCA
rnacentral:tRNA from 1 species